CUUCACACCCUGAAGAAGAGAGGUAUUUGGGUGAAAGGUCAACAUAGGUGCUUAACCUGAAAAAGUGCUGCAAGUUAAGAAGGACUUUGCUAUUAAGUUCUUUAAAUUCAAAGAACUGCAGAUGUCAACACAGUACUGUUUCAAAUGUCAAGGGCUCAAGUCCAGGAAACAAUCAAGAUCUCACCAAUAGUGGCCAAACAACCCAAAGGACAAGAGGAAUGAUGCAGAGGUGUUACGGCACACAAUGUGGAAGAACAGAUUAACACUGGGUCUGUGGUUGCUCUGUAGUAGCCCACAUAGGGGUCCUUUAGACUGUGCUCAGACAUGAAUUCUUGUCAAGGAACAAAUAGUAAUUGCAAUGUAUCAGCAUUUGUUCACAAAGCCGCACAGCUGUCACUCGAGAUCAGACGUCACCACCUGUUGAUCGCAGCAAGUACAAGUGUCGACCUUUGUCAUUCUUGUCCUUCUGCCUCUUGCAGCCACUCUGUCCAGCUCUUCUGGAGUACUCACAGCAAGCUCUCCUUCAUAGACUCUGAGUUAUAACUUUGUGCAUUGUGUUUGUUUGGUUUAAGAGUUAUGUCUCUAACUAAAUUCUCAGCCCAGAAGAGAUGUCUUAAUUUCUCACUGUCACCGCAAGCCGUGCAUGCUGGGAAUGUUUGUUGAUGACGUAAGAUUUAGCUGUAUUCCCCUGGCCAGUAUUUAACCCAUGCUCUGGUCCAAGUUUCACCAUCGAACCAAGACAGAGGAUGACGGUGACUCAAUUAUGAAAGGAUCUGGAGAGCUUUAUUGUUUAAAGAGAACAUUACGGAAAGUGUGAGCCACACACAUGAAAAACACCUGGCCAUGAUGAAAAUUCCUG
rnacentral:lncRNA from 1 species